rnacentral:rRNA from 1 species
GAUGAACGCUAGCGAUAGGCUUAACACAUGCAAGUCGAGGGGCAGCAUGGUCUUAGCUUGCUAAGACUGAUGGCGACCGGCGCACGGGUGCGUAACGCGUAUGCAACUUGCCUCACAGAGGGGGAUAACCCGUCGAAAGACGGACUAAUACCGCGUACACUCCAUCUUGGGCAUCCAAGGUAGAGGAAAUGAAAUUCGCUGUGAGAUAGGCAUGCGUCCCAUUAGCUAGUUGGUGAGGUAACGGCUCACCAAGGCGACGAUGGGUAGGGGAACUGAGAGGUUGAACCCCCACACUGGUACUGAGACACGGACCAGACUCCUACGGGAGGCAGCAGUGAGGAAUAUUGGUCAAUGGGCGAGAGCCUGAACCAGCCAAGUCGCGUGAAGGAUGACUGUCUUAUGGAUUGUAAACUUCUUUGAUGCGGGAAUAACAAGAGUCACGUGUGACUCCCUGCAUGUACCGUAUGAAUAAGCAUCGGCUAACUCCGUG